rnacentral:lncRNA from 1 species
GGAAGGUUUUUUUGUUUUGUUUUGUUUUUUUAAAUUGUCAAGUCUUCCAUAUAAAAGUGUGGGCCAGAGAACUUCCGGUCAUAUCUCUCAGAUUCACAACUCAGAAUUUUGAAGGUUUCAGGGUUAUGUUAAAAAUCUUGAAUCCUAAAUAGGCUUCUUCUUAAGUUGGUCAUGAAUUAGAAAAAAAAAAAAAAAAGUAGUGUUUAAUGGUCAGUUUGACUUGCUGGCCACACUUGUCGGUGUUUAUACUUACUUCAAGAUGAUAGAAAUAUGUCUUGGAUCAGUGAUCAGAAACUAUAAUGGACCUAAAACCAUUUGAGAAAAUAGAUAACUGGCAGGUUAAUCGAAUAGAAUAUUAAACACAGCCAGGGCUACACAGAGAAACCCUGUCUCUAAAACAAAAACAAAAACCAAAAACAAACAAAAAGGGAAGACAGGCAGUCGUGGCACACACCUUUAAUCCCAGCACUUGGGAGGCAGAGGCAGGCAGGUUUCUGAGUUCAAGGCCAGCCUGGUCUACAGAGUAAGUUCCAGGACAGACAGGGCUACACAGAGAAAUCCUGUCUCAACCCCCCACCCCCAAAAAAGCAAAAAACAAAAGAAUAUUAGACAAUAGCUUAGAGCAAAAUUGGGACAUAACUUGUUUUGCCUUGUGACAUGUCCCUGGACAAUUCCUUUACAUUUAAUUUCUUAUAAAUUGAGGUCAGGAUGUGUUUGCCUUCUAGGCUCUUAGAACAGUGUCCAUCACAAAAGUUUUCAGACAUUUUAGCUGCUAGCAGAUAUAUUUCCAAAUUUCUAAAUGCUAGUUUCUCCAUUUGUCAAAGAAAAAAUAACCAAUUGAAAGUUAUAUAGUAUUUAUUAAGGUGUAUGUGAAAAUGCUUUAUAAAUUAUAAGUGUUAGUAAAUAUUAAUUUUUCAAGGUUUUCCCCUAAGCAUAAAUGUAAUUAUUAGGGGUCUGGGCUUACCUUACCUAUAAGUAAAUUUUGUGUAGUUUUUUUAAGGUACCAGAAUAUCUGUUAUUUCAUAGUGAUAAGUGUUGAUAUUUUUGGAACAUUUAUUUUGCUGUUUUGUUUAUUUUCCUGACAGUGCUUGGAAUUGAACCCAAGGUCUCUCAACAUGCUCCACAAUUGCUUUGCCACAGAGCUACAAUACCCAGCCCUCUAUAGUUACUGCUCCCAUUUUGUGGGAUGUUCCAAAAACUUGUCCAGUAUCAUACAGAUAGUGACAGAACAACAUUCAAACUAAAGUAUCUCUGAGUUGAGAAUUAUCCUUCCAGACUUUCAUACAUUCUCUCUGCAUUCUUAGCUUUAGAUAGUAACUACACAAAGUAUAACAGAGAAGUUAUAGCAAGCAAAAUGGUUUGGACUGGAUCUUAUUUUAUUACAGAAUUCUUCUAGUAUUGUCUUCAUGUCCUCCAGGUUCUUAGUUCCUGUUCUUCCCCGAGUAGCUUGCCACAGGAUCCCAUCUGUACCAUCCGCCUCAAGUCACUCAUUUAUAAGUUCAUGCCUUAUAUUUCCAGUACAAUUGUAGAACCUCUUUCUCUUCAGUCUUCUUCUGUUUUUCACUUGCACAUUUUCUUGUUAAAACAAACUGAUUUUUUUUAAACUGUUGAUGUAUAUCUUUAUGAAGUCUGGUUUCAGCUAAAGAUCAUUAUAUUGCAGGGAAAAGAUAGUUCUAUUUUCUAUAAUGAACAUAUGCUUUCAUUUUGUUAAUAAUCAGCCAGUCAAGAUUUUAUAAAAGACACAUACAGAUGUUGGUAAAGAAAUUCCAAGUUUGUCUGUUCGCUGUUGUUGUAGUGUUUUAAUAUAGUCUCCAAAAGAAGUGUAGAGAUAGCAGACCUGAGAAAGAGUUAUCAUCAUUUUUGGUAUAUGCAACUUUAGCUUCCUUCAGGUAAUUACUGUUGAUCCUUUAAAUCUUACAUGCUUAUUCGUUGAAUGCAUUUGUACUUUAUAUAAAAAUGUAUAAGCAGUAGAGUCUACAAGUGGUUCAGGGUCUGUCUGCAUUAUACCUAAGAAAACUUAAUGAAAGACUUAAGUUAUUUAUAAAAGUAGUGGGAGGAAGAAACUAUAACAUGUCUGUAAAUAACUGAAAUAAAUAGCUGGUUAUUUAAACCGGUGUCUUGGAAACCCAUAAUCUAAACCAGUUCCUGAGCCCACAUGGGAAAAGAAGGGAACCAACUCCUUCCGGUUGUCCUCUGACCUCCGUAUGUAAGAGCCCGGAUUAUGUUUAGCAUUACGUUGGUGGCAUGUGGCUUCUUGAUUGUUUUCAGGGUACGUUAGUUGAGUAAAGACCAUUGUACUUGGUAUCCAGUGACCACGUGUGUUCUCUGAGAUAUAUGGAUACAGUCGUCCUGGGACUGUAAGUUUUCUGGUUUCUAAAGUGGAAGUUAAACAUGUAAAGAAUAAUGAUUAAGAAAAAGGCACAC